GACACAGGCCGGACCGGAGGACACAGCGGCUCCCCCCGGGGAAGACCCUCAGCAAGUGACGUACGCCCAGCUGAACCUCGGCAGUCUCAGGGCGGGGGCCCAGGAGCCUCCCCCUUCGGCCCGGGCGGAGCCCAGCCUGUACGCCGCCCUGCGCUGAGCCCGGGCCGGGAGGGAGGAGCCCCGGCCCCGCAGCCCCUGCCCCGCCCAGGCAGCCGGACGCUGGUGGCCCCAGGGGAGGGGCAGAGGGGACCCCAAGCCGCUGGGAGCUGCGCCCCCUCCCGGCUCGGGCACCACGCCCGGGGCGGACAGUCCCGACCCUGAUCAGCACCGGACAGGUCCUGCCCUCAGUACAAGUGUAGGGGCCAGAGAGAAGUGGAGACCAGAAUGAGGAUGGCAGUCCCUUUAAGGACCCCGUUCUUCCUACUGACUCCCAGUGUGCUCAGGCCUGGGUUUGGGAGGAGAGAACAACUCUCUCUUUAUUGGGAGAAUAGGAAGGAAAGGUGUCUCUGUGAUGGGUGACUGGUUAUUGGGGGAAUCAGAGAGAGCUCCCUCCCUCCAUCUCCCUCCUCCAUCUCCUUCCUCCAUUUCCCUCUGAGCUUUUAUGAAGGCCCUUCAGACUUACUUAGGAGGCCUGGAGUUGGAGACCAAGGACCAGGACCUGAACUGCCUGUUUGGCCUGGGAUAAAACCUCUUUCAUUUGCCUCUGAUAUAAAAUGAGCUCCAAUUAGCUCCACCAGAAUGAGAUUGUUCCAUGGGCCACAGAACGCUGGGCAGGAGCCCAAGGGACAAAUUAUCAAGCAAGAACAGUCACGAUGCGCUUUUGUGACACCUGACGCACUCGAGAGAGUUUCUGGGUUAUUAAUGAUCAGUUUAUUAAUUAUGCUCAAUAACUUGAUGACCGUUGUUCUCUCUUGACAAACAAAGACAAAACCAUGGAGAUCCCUUAAUGCUUAAAUACCUUUGGAAAGGAGGAGCCUUUGACAGGUGAAAAUCAGCCUGGAUUGUGAACACAAUUAAUGAAGGGGUGACUGAGGAGGUGGGCUAAAAGUCUCCAGCUCCUCCUGUUGGGAACAUGAUUUGAUCACGACUCUCAGCAGCCUCCAAUCAAUCUGGACAAAGGAAUCCAUCUCUAUCCAGGCCCCUCAGCUUAGUUUGCUCCUUCACAAGCUGGGUCACCCCAAAUUCUAAAGGAGGGUCUGUAAGGGCAAAGGCUUACUUCCCAAGGGCAAGAGUCCACCUAGAAAAAUCUCUUCAUAAGAGUUGGUUAGGUCGGGAACUUCAGAAGAUUUGGACAAACUCACCUGUCAGCAAUGUCCUUCAAAGACUGAUUGUAUCGAUCAGUGUCUACAGACACUGGUCCCUGCAUGAGCAAAUAGAAAGGAAAAACCUCACUCGCCAUUUACUAAGUGGUUCCAAAUAUAAGAGAAAAAUAAUGAUUUCUCUCUCCUCCUUCUGGAAAUGCAGGACUGAGGCUCUCCAGUCAUCUAUCCCAGACUCAUGAUCCUCCUAGGAUAUGCUCUUCACUGUCCCCUCUCUUCUUUCCUCUCCUCUCAUUAAUAUAUUUAUACUCACAGUAAGAAGGGGGCUUCUGGCUGAGAUGCUUUCCAGAACUGUAACCCAGCUCCCACCUCCCUAAAACAACUAAGCAAUAAUGGGAAUUAUUAUUUUUUAUUUAUUAAAUUUCCUUUUAUUAUUUGAGACUAAGUGUCAUUCCUCCUGCAAAUUUUGGUUAUCUAAAACCCUUUCUUCUGUUAAUAUUAACCUCAUCUGAGCAAAAUCUUUCCCAUGGAAUGUGAAUUUUACUUAAAGCCUAAACAUGCCAUGCAUGAGCAGCCAAAACGGUCCCAGAUUCCUUGGAAACAUGGGAAACUUCUUUUUCAUUUAGUCUAUUUGUGUACUCUCUGAAUGUAGUUUAGUCUAUAACCUGAUAGAGUUUACCCAGAAAAUUUGGUGAAGUUUGUUUCCUCGGGAUAAAUGAGCUAAUGACUCUAACAAAGUUUGUUCAACUUUUAUGAUAUUGAAUGGAGUAUCUGACUUUUCUUCAACUUUUACAGCCUAAGAGGAAUAUACAACAUUGCAAUAUAUAUAAAAAAAAAUUUCCUGUCAACCCGGUAUCAUUUUGCCUAUAUGAAGUCUUGAAAGAAUCUUUGGGGGAAACCAUCUGUCAGUAACAAUACUGACAAGAUAAAGACCUGGAAAAUGGGGAAUAAAGAGGAGAGGGAAGGCCCUAGCAUUCAGAGGGAUUGAGAGAUACUUCUUUGGAAAAGUGAGGAGACAAGGAGUCAGUCAACAGUUAAUAUGCAUGAGUUAAAUGCCUACUUGUGUGCCAGGCACUGUACUAAGUCUGGGGAUGUAGAAAAAGGCAAAGACAGGAAGUGUUCUUAAAGAGUUCACUGUGUAAUGUGGCAUGACAACAACUAUGACUAAGACUAGAUGGGAAAAGUGGCAAUAGAUUAAGAAGAGGAAGGAACUAGAAUUAAGGAGACCUGGGGUGAGGGGGGUGGUAGGAGCCUCUUCCAUCAGGAAGGACUUUAGUUGGAACUCAAAAGAAGCUGGAGAAACCAGAAAAAGAGGGAGAAAAGGAAGAAGAGGAGAGGGGAAGGAAAACCAGAGAAACUGGAAAUAAGCAUUUAUUAAUCACCUACCGAGUGCCUGAUUGUGCUAGGCACUUUACAAAUAUUAUGUCGUUUGAUUCUCAUAAUUUUGGGAGAGAGUUGAUACGGUCAUCCUUAUUUUAAAUUUUAAGAAAUAGAAGCACAUAGAGUUAAGGAGAGGAGAAAGGAGGGGAGGGCAGGGGAUGGAACAGAAAGAAAGGGGAAGAGAGGACAGGACAGGAGACUAAAUGAUGAAAAGAGGAAGGGAAAUAUCUGGGGGGAUUCCCCUUAAUUAGGCAAUGGCUGAGCAAAAACUGGAAUAGAGAUAUACGUAAUACCCUAUGAGAAAUGAGAAAAGAAAUGAUUUCAGAGAAUUCUGGUCAGCAUAAACAAGUGCAGAACAAAGUGAGCAGAACCAAGAGAACUGUUUAUACUAGGAAAAUAAUGUUUUUAAAAUGUUAUUUAGCAUUUUAUUUUUUCCCAGUUAUUAAAACAACUAUUUUGUUUUAUUAAACAAUUUUUAAACAUUUAUUAAACAAUUUUAUUAAAACAAUUUUUAACAUUUGUUUUUAAAACUUUGAGUUUCAAAUGUUCUUCAUUUCUCUCUCGCCAUCCCCUCUCAUUGACAAGGCAAGCGAUUUGAUAUAGACUACACGAGUGUGAUCAUGCAAAACAUUUCCAUGAUAGUCAUGUUGUAAAGGAAAACAGCCCUCCUCUCCCCCCCAAAAAAAACCUCAAGAAAAAUAAAGUUUAAAAAGUAUGUUUAUAGCAGGAUUUAGAUAGCCUCAGCUCUUUCCCUUUAUAUAGAGAACUUUUCAUCUUAAGUCCUUCAAAUUUGUCCUGAAUCAUUAUAUUGCCAAUAGCUAAAUCACUCACAGCUGAUCAUCCUACAAUAUUGCUGCUUCCUUGUCCCUAGUAGUAGAAGUCACUUUGCAUCAGCUCAUGGAAAUCUCUCCAAGUUUUUCUAAGAGCAUUCUGUCUAUCAUUUCUUAUAGCACAACAGUAUUCUAUCAGAAUCACAAACCACAAUUUCUUCCGCAUCCCCUCAGUUUCCAAUUCUUUGCCCCCAGAAGACAGCAGCUAUGAAUACUUUUGUAUACAUGGUCCUUUUCCUUUGAGUUUUUUUUAUCUCUCUUGGGAUAUGAACGUGGUAUUGCUAGGUCAAAGAGUAUUCAUGGUUUAUAUCCUUUCGGCAUAGCUAAAAAUUGUUCUGCAGAAUGGUUGAAUCAAUUCACCAUUUCACCAACAGUGCGUUAAUAUCUCAUUUUUCUUACAUCCCUUCUAACGUGUCAUUUGUUUCCCUGCCCUAUUAGGCAGUUUGAUAGGUAUGGGUUAAUAUCUCAAAAUUAUUUUAAUUGAUAUUUCUCCAGUCAAUAAUGGGUAAGAACAUUUUUUAAUAUAGCUAUAGCUAGCUUUGAUUACUUCAUCUGAAAACUGGACAUAUCCUUUAAUCAUUUAUCAUUUGGGGAACGUUUCUUAUUUUUAUACAUUUUAUUCAGUUCUAUACAUGUUUGAGAAAUUAGAUGUUUUUCAGAGAAAUUUGCUUUAAAUUUUUUUUCACAAUUGCUUUCCUAUUAUCCUCCAUUCUAUUCCUCCUGCCACCACAUUUAUUUUAUUCUCUCUCCUUUCAUCAUGUAAUUCCUCAAAAAAGUUUUAUUUUUGGCUACCCCCUCUCACCAAUCGGCUUCUCUUCUGUUAACCCCUAAUCUUCCCUUUUCCCCUUUUUUUUCUGUAGAUAAGAUAUUUUUGUAUCCAAUUGAGUGUGCAUGUUAUUCUCUUUGAGCAUUUUCUGAUGAGAGUAAGGUUCACUCACUCCCUCUUUCCUCCUCCUCUUCCCCUUCACUGUAAAAGCUUUUUCUUGUCUGUUUUAUGAGAUUAUUUAUCUUACCAUACCUCUCCCUUUCCCUUACUUCCAGAACAUUCCUCUUUUCCCCCCUUAAUUUUAUUUUUUGAUAUCAUCUCUUUAUAUUCAACUCACACGUGUGCCCUCUGUCUAUAUAUACUCUAACUGCCCUAAUAAUGAGAAAGUUCUUUUGAGUUACAAGUAUCAUCUUCCUAUGUAAGAAUGUAAACGAUUUAACCUUAUUAAGUUCCUUAUGAUUUUACUUUCCUAUUUACCUUUUUAUGCUUCUCUUGAAUCUUGUAUCUGAAAGUCAAAUUUUCUAUUCAGCUCUGGUCUUUUCAUCAAGAAUGCUUAAAAGGACUCUACUUCAUUGAAUGCAGAUGAUAUUAUAAAGAAACAUAAGUAUGAAAGGCAAAAAACUUCAGAUUAAUUCAGUGACUAAGCAUGACUCCUGAAGAGGAGUCCAUUGACUCCCUGAUGGUGGAAAGGAAGUGGUCACUGGGUAACGAAAAUGACAGACAUUUGGUGGACAGUCACUUUCUGGUUUGGUUUAGCUUGAUUUAAUGACCUGUAACAAAGUUGGUUUUGUCUUUCUUUAGGUUUUUUAUUUGGAAGGGGGAUUGGAGGAGAAAGGAGGAAUUAGGGGAGAAGAACAUCAUUACUGCUAGAGUGAUGCAAAAAACAAGUCCACUGUGUAAAAUGGACAGAAAAAAAGAAAAAAAAUCAGAAGGGAGUGUAGACAAGCAGGUCAGUUUUUAAAAGCAAUAUGUGUAAUUUGCUACAUGCUUUUUUAAAAAAGCAAAUAAUGGCCUUGUCAGUCAGGUAGUGCAUGACCAUUGGAAACGAGUUUAAAUCCAGCCUCAGUUAUUAGCUCUGAUCCUGAGCAAGUCCCUUCAUCUCUAGCUGCUUCUACCACUUCAGCUGAAAACUGGGGAUAGUAUUGCCAUAGCCCAUUGCUGAGUCUGUGAUUCCAGUCUCUACCCUUUCCUGUUCAUCUUCCACUCAACUACUAAAGGGAUUUCCUUCCCCAAGAGGAUCAUGACAUCAUGGAGGUGAUGCCGUGACAUGCAAGUGAGUUAGAUUUGGGUGAGGGAAGGUUGUGCAAGGUCCCCUGCCUCACUUUCCCCUCCAGAGUCAUCUAGGUCCAGUGACCAGAUAUAAAUCAGGACAACUGGAGAUGGCCCUGAAUGCAAUGGAAAACCUUGGCCUUUUUAGGCUAAAUCUUCAAAUGGGUCUCAAUUUGACUGUGGUCACACUCAUUUAGUGAUUAAGACUUGGUAACAAUUGAGGCAAAGAAUCUCCUCAUUCACCUAGUCAGAAAAAAAAUCUAAAUAAAUAAAUCUGGGAGGGGAAGACCCUCAGGGUUUUUGGCCAAAGCCAGAAUGGGGAUUUUCCAGAAACACAGUUCUGAUUGUUAAGGAUCCAAAAAAGUAUUGGGGUUCUGGACUGGUGUCAUGGUGUCUCAAAAGAAUUUGUAGACCAAAAG
ensembl:lncRNA